rnacentral:rRNA from 1 species
GACGAACGCUGGCGGCGUGCUUAACACAUGCGAGUCGAACGGAAAGGCCCUGCUUUUGUGGGGUGCUCGAGUGGCGAACGGGUGAGUAACACGUGAGUAACCUGCCCUUGACUUUGGGAUAACUUCAGGAAACUGGGGCUAAUACCGGAUAGGAGCUCCUGCUGCAUGGUGGGGGUUGGAAAGUUUCGGCGGUUGGGGAUGGACUCGCGGCUUAUCAGCUUGUUGGUGGGGUAGUGGCUUACCAAGGCUUUGACGGGUAGCCGGCCUGAGAGGGUGACCGGCCACAAUGGGACUGAGAUACGGCGCAGACUGCUACGGGAGGCAGCAGUGGGGAAUAUUGCACAAUGGGCGGAAGCCUGAUGCAGCAACGCCGCGUGCGGGAUGACCGCCUUCGGGUUGUAAACCGAUUUCGCCUGUGACGAAGCGUGCGUGACGGUAAUGGGUAAAGAAGCACCGGCUAACUACGUG